UGCGUAGGCGGCUUUGCAAGUCAGAUGUGAAAGGCUACGGCUCAACCGUAGUAAGCCUUUGAAACUGGGAAACUUGAGUGCAGGAGAGGAGAGUGGAAUUCCUAGUGUAGCGGUGAAAUGCGUAGAUAUUAGGAGGAACACCAGUUGCGAAGGCGGCUCUCUGGACUGUAACUGACACUGAGGCACGAAAGCAUGGGGAGCAACA
rnacentral:rRNA from 1 species